AGUAGCAGGGUGGGGAGUGCAAAUGCUAUGGCCGACAGAAAAUUCCGGUUUAUCAGUUAGCAUGGUGGUCCUUUCUCAUAGGGCACAAAUUAUGUCGAAUACAACUGCAUUUUAUCAGAAUGGAUGGCGCCAAACUUUCUCCGUACUGUACCAGAUGAUUGGCGAUAGUAGGACGAUUAAGGAAACAACCAACGCUACCAAGGGAGGAGUGAUGUAGGAUAACAAUAUGGAGCACGUAUAUAAUGACAUUGUAUAUGCCAAAGAAAACUUGCGAAUAAAGCUGAUACGGAGCAGGAAUCUCAUUUUAGUUUGGUGAUACAUAAGCAGUUGUAUGAACAACGAUGGAAAUGCAGGAGCUAUAUAUAAAAGAUGUGCUGCUCAAAGUUAGCUAAACCAAGGCUGAGGCAAAAAAAAUGAAAGGCCACCAAUUGUCUUAUGGAAGAUGAACGCUCCAGAGAAGAAGCCCUUGGUGUGACCAGAGCGACCUGAAGGAGUACGAGCAAAAGUUGGCCAGGGAUCUCAGAAAAAAGUUCAAAACCCAAUCCACGCACUCUCUGAGUUCCAGAGUCCAACUGAGAGUGUCUAAAUUGGAAAGUUCUAUUGGAAAGUUAAGAUCGUAAAACGAUUAAAGAAGAGAAGCGGCUGUUAUUUCUGCUGUUUAUUAUUUUUAAAAGCAGCAGAAAAAAAAAGUUUUCAAUGGGAAGGAGAAAACUUUUUAGGAAUAUACAUAUUAUCCUCUCAAUUUAAAACUAAUUCAUACACUGUUCCACUCAAAGUAUUCAAACAUCAAAUACCAAAAAAAUAGAAGGAAACCAUGAUUAGCAAUGUACAUAAAUCAGUGAAUUAUUUGUUUUAAUUUACCAUUUAGAAAAAUGUAUGUAGAUGUGACUACGUGUUUUGCAAACCACAAUGAAGAACGCUAUGCAAUAAAAAAUUGAAUUGCACUCUGGAAUUAUAUUAGACUUGGACAGUCAUUAUAAUCAUGAGAAAUAAAAGGAAAAGAACCAUUGCAGCAGGGCUAAUUGAUUUAUACAAUUUUCUACUGGGUUUUAUAUGAACAUUCGCUUUGAGAUCAUGACAUAUCAUUUUGUUAUUUGUAACCAUCAAUAUUACCUGUCUAUAUGAUGUAUUUCAUGUCCAAUGACACCGGCAACAUUUUCAUCGCAAUUGGUAUAGAGUACUCUAUUCUAUGCGUCACAAUAUUUAUAUUUUUAUUUCAAUAUUAAUGCAGACAUAAUGAAUGGAUUCAACAAACAUUUACAAAUUGAAAAUUUAAGUGCUUAAUUAGGUAUUGUUAUGCAUUAAAAUGCUUUUUUGUGUACUAAUAAAACAUUUGGGAAAAUGAAAUUUGUGGCGUAAUAUUGACAAUUGUUUGAGAGCCUAGUGGUUGACAUACUUGAUAUAUUUCAAUCACGUUAUUAUUAUUUUCCCCAUUAUUCCUCCUACGAACAUGGGGUAAUGUGAAUAAAUGAUGAUAUUUAAUAUGAAGAUCAAUUGCAUAUAGUAAAUGUAAUCAGGCAUGAAUGCACAAUAUCUCCGUUAGUUCUUUGCUGAAUUAUUAAUUGUACCGUAUUUCGACAUUUUACUUUUCCCUUCAACAAGAAUUUGUAUUAGCAGAAUUCUAAUAUGAUGUAUGAGGGAACAAUAAUAUAAAUAAAAGAAUAUUUUGCUAUUGAUAAAUUAUAAGCUGCCAAAUAGGAGAUGUUUUUUUCUGUAGUUCAUUCCAAUGGAGGAUUUAGUUGAUUAGCUGGUUCACCUGUAUUUUAUUAUACAACAAUUACAGUAUACUAGUAUUCGCAUCAUUUUAUUUGACAAUGUACGGUUUUUUCAAAACAAUGUUGUGGAGCGUGAUAUCAAUUGAUUUCGUGAUGUAGGUGUAAAACGAAUUAUCAAUGCAAUGUAAUCAGAGUAGUUUGGAAAAUAAAAUUUUAUACAUAAA